GCUGGAGUUCGCAGAUUCCGUGCACAUCGAUCAGGGUUGGAGCCGGUUCCCCACCUGCAGGGGAGGAGAGUUGCAGCAGCCGUGCUCACCCCUGAGUCCAGGUGCUGCGAGAACGUCCAGAGCUUCAGGACUCCAGAUGCUAUGGCGGUGCUGCGGCCCAGUCACUUUUCCCAUCCUCGGCCAUCAGGGUGGACACAGGGCUGUUCCAUCUGCACUGGGGGAACAGCCUUGACCAGUGAGGGGUCACUGGCUCCAUGGCAGCCCCCUGCACCCGGAAGCAUGACCGAGAAAUCAGGAGGGAGGAUAGGGGAAGAGACAGAGGCACCUGCGGCCUUGCUCCAGCACUUGGAAGCUUCCCCCUGCAGGUGGGGACUGAGGGGCUUGAACCCGGUUUGUCACACACCAGCACUCCCCCCAUGCUGUCAUGUUUCAUGUUUUCAUCAUUAAAUGUCAGUAUGCGGAGGGUUU